rnacentral:tRNA from 1 species
CAGAAUAUAGCUUAAAAUAAAGCAUUUUGCUUACACCAAAAAAAUAUCUAUUAGAUUAUUCUG